GAUGAACGCUGGCGGCGUGCCUAAUACAUGCAAGUCGAGCGAACAGAUAAGGAGCUUGCUCCUUUGACGUUAGCGGCGGACGGGUGAGUAACACGUGGGUAACCUACCUAUAAGACUGGAAUAACUCCGGGAAACCGGAGCUAAUGCCGGAUAACAUUUAGAACCGCAUGGUUCUAAAGUAAAAGAUGGUUUUGCUAUCACUUAUAGAUGGACCCGCGCCGUAUUAGCUAGUUGGUAAGGUAAUGGCUUACCAAGGCAACGACACGUAGCCGACCUGAGAGGGUGAUCGGCCACACUAGAACUGAGACACGGUCCAGACUCCUACGGGAGGCAGCAGUAGGGAAUCUUCCGCAAUGGGCGAAAGCCUGACGGAGCAACGCCGCGUGAGUGAUGAAGGGUUUCGGCUCGUAAAACUCUGUUAUUAGGGAAGAACAAACGUGUAAGUAACUGUGCACGUCUUGACGGUACCUAAUCAGAAAGCCACGGCUAACUACGUGCCAGCCGCCGCAGUAA
rnacentral:rRNA from 1 species